UCAACUCGCCUACGGUGGUGGCUGUAGACACACAUGCAUUUUGUUUUGAACCUCUGUUUGGACCUGUGUCUGCACGUGCUUGUGUGUGAUGUGACUAGGAUGUUUGAUGGCAGGACAGGGAGGGGUUUGUUUACAUAUUAUUAGUAUUAGUAGUAGUCAGUAUGGAGUCAGUGUGCGUGUGUCUGUGGGGACUUCAUUAGCAGCAGAUGUUUCCUGUGAGGUUCCUGUAACCAGAAAAGCCCUGCGAGUAAGGUCCUGGGCCUGGGGAAGCAGUGUCGUCUCAGUCAGCGGCAGAUGGAAACGUGGUUUCCAUCGACAGACCGAGCAACACCAAGAAGUUUUGUGAAGCCUUGUGAGUCAACUCUCAUUCAUGUCAAGACCCCCUAGUUCUGGGACCACAGCGAGUGCUGGCGAGGCUACCCAAAACAACCUGUCGCUGAGGCUCACUAUUGGUAUUACAUCACAGAGCUUGGUUUCUAUUGGUCCCUGCUGCUCUGUGGAUGUAAAGUGGAAGGUAUGUGUCACUCCUGUCACCUCACACACUCUCCUGUCAUCUCACACAAACUCUCCUGUCCCCUCACACAAACUCUCCUGUCUCCUCACACAAACUCUCCUGUCUCCUCACACAAACUCUCCUGUCACCUCACACAAACUCUCCUGUCUCCUCACACAAACUACUGUCAUUUAGCAGACGCUCAAUUUACAAUCAGUGCAUUAAUCUUAAAAUAGCUAGGUGAGACAACAUCAAAGAUGUGAACACAUAUUUUUAUGACCUAAUGAUUAAUU